GUCCGCGUAGCACAGUGGUAGUGCGCUUGACUACGACUCAUGCCGUCAUCAAGAGGUCGAGAUUUCGAUCAUCUCCGUGGAUU